CUCUGAGCUUCGGGGUAGUCCGCGAGGCGCUCAGCUUCUUUCUGAGUGUUCCGCCGGGUUCGACAGGGUCGAGGUCGCCGGCGCGAGGCUCCCGGAUAGCUGAGGGGCGCGAGGGCGCCUCCAGUCUCCCACCUGCCCUCCCGCGCCGCGGACUAGGCUGCCAGUCUACCCCACCGGGACGUCUGCCCCCGCAUGCAGGAGGGGGUGUGUCGGCCCAACGGGGUCUCAGGACCUGUCCCUGCUCCUCCAAAGCCCACGUCGCCUGCGGCGCCCCUCGGGUCUGCGCCGCGUUCUCCUUUAGCCUCCCGGGCCUCUCCGCUGCCCCUCGCCCCCAGGCACCAGCCACACCUGCUUCCUUCUGUUCCCGCCCGUGGCCUCUGACACGCCGUGCCCUGGACCCGAAAUGCCCGCCCCACUCCUGGAGCCUCCGGUGUGUGAGAGGCACCUUUCCUUGGGGUCAGGGGCCCGGACUCUGAAGCCGGCCUGGCUUUGCCUGUGGGCCCCGAUCCUCCCAGCUCGAGUCCCUCGCCCCAGCCGCCGCGGGCCUUCACCUGUGCUUUGGGGACGACAGGAUGGCCACCCUCCUUCCCCCAAAGAUUUGAGGGUUUUGCUCCACGCGGGAGAAGGUCUGCCUGUGCCACCAGCCGGCAGCCUUUCACAUGCUGUUGCGUUACGGGGCCCUCUGUGACCUUUCCCUAGGCCGAGGGGUGCUUCGUCUCUGUUCCUGAGAGACCAGAAUUUAUUCUUGGUUUGUCAAGCCACAUCUGUAGGAAUGUUGCCCAGUUGCAGCAGGCUGGGGUCUGGGACUUGCUCCUUUGGCGAAUUGAGAAGUAAGGAUAUAGAAGGCAUUUUAGCACUAAUGGAAACCAGAACCACUCUUAGACCUGGGCAAGAGGGGCCCCAGAAAUUAGCAAGCGAUUAGCAAGCAGCUGGAUUUCGAUGACCUCCACUGUACUUAGAGCAACGGCAUUCGAUUCGUUGGAUCAUUUCAAAGAUGACAUACUGGGUUGUUUGUUUGUUUCUGGCGGUGUCUAAAGAUGGAACAUCUUGAAGCAUUUUGAAUUUGACCUGUGGCUACCCUCAGAUACAAUGAUGGUAACCCCAUGAGUGCUGUUAAAGCAAUUUGACUUAUUGUAGACAGGUUAACACAUGAGAUGCGUUAAAAGAGUUAAGUGAAAUAAUAGGCAGCAUUCAAAGAGCAAAUCGUGGUCUUUGGCAGAAAAUAGAGUUAAUUUUGUAUUUGAGCUGUCCAGUUAUUACAAUUAGAAAACGUUUUAAAGAAUCCAAAAGGAUUUAAAAUAUUGCAUAAAGUUUUAGGAGAAAAUGGUUUCCAAAAAGCAACUGCAUAUGAAAUAAGCACUAAAAUGACAUUAAAGUACAAUGUAAGAAAAUCGGAACUAGAAGCAUUUGCUGGAGUCUGAAGAAAAAGAUUUAUGGAUGAAUGAUUCUGAAACUAACUUCUAUAGAGACAAUUUUCCGGCGAUGGUAGAUCAAGGUGUAGAUUGUACUGAAGAGAGAGAUUCAAACAAAAUUAAAGAACAUAAUGUUACAAAGAAGAGAGCUAAGCAACAUUGCUAAACAACAGGACAAUCUCUGGA
rnacentral:lncRNA from 10 species